UACAGAGGUCUCAAGCGUUGUUCGGAUUCAUUGGGCGUAAAGGGUGCGUAGGUGGCGCCGUAAGUCGGGUGUGAAAUUUCGGAGCUUAACUCCGAAACUGCAUUCGAUACUGCGGUGCUUGAGGACUGGAGAGGAGACUGGAAUUUACGGUGUAGCGGUGAAAUGCGUAGAUAUCGUAAGGAAGACCAGUGGCGAAGGCGGGUCUCUGGACAGUUCCUGACGCUGAGGCACGAAGGUCAGGGAGCAAACGGG
rnacentral:rRNA from 1 species